GGGCGAUUAGCUCAGGUGGAUAGAGCGUCAGUCUCCGGAACUGAAGGUCGGGCGUUCGAAUCGCCCAUCGCCCA
rnacentral:tRNA from 1 species